rnacentral:lncRNA from 1 species
AACACUCACUUCUAAACUUUUAAAUCCAUAGUUCAUUAGGUUACAUAGUCUUAGAAGUAGUGUGCUGAUUAAAAAUAUUUUAUUUUUCCAGAGGCAGGGGUAGGUGGAUUUCUAUAAAUCUGAAGCUAGUCUGGUCUUCAAAGAAUUACAGCUACCCAGGAUUACAUAAUGCUUGUCUUCCCCCAAAAAAGCUAAUAUAGAAACUAUCAAAUUGCCCUAUAGAAGGUACACUGUGUGUGCUCCUGUUAGUAGGGGUAUGUUUUCCUCUGUCCUAGCUUGCUUAAGCAUAUGCUAUUAAAUAGUUACUAUGUGUAUAAAUGUAUAUGUAUAUUAUAUAUUAUCUAUAAUUUCUGUAUACACACAUAAAUGCAUUUGUAUAUGUGUAUACAUAUACACAUGUUACAUAUAUAUAAUUUCUGAAGCAGUUUUGUGUUGAUUUUUUGUCUGCUGUCUGCUUCAUUUGAUAACUCACAAGUUUAUGUAUCUCUUCAUAAUAGCCAUUUUUUGUUGUUGUUGUUGUUAUUUUUUUAAAUAGAAGAAAGCAGGUUGAUGGCCUGGGUAAUGUUAAGAGUGCUGUCCACCUCUGUUCUUUUGGAGUCUCUGUCAUGUCCUUAGUUCAGUUUUUAUUUGGGAUGUAGGCCAUUCAUUGAUGCUAAACUUUUAAUUGUCAUACAUGUCCUGACUUUUAAAGAAGGUUUUAUUAUUUUAAAUUAUGUGUGUAUACAUAUAUCUGUGUGUGGGCAUGUACAUUUGAGUUCAGGUGCUUGUUUCCUGGAGCUGGGAUUCUAUGUGGUUAUGAUCGAGCUGACAUGGGUGCUGGGAACCAUACUUGAGUCCUCUAUUUACCCCUGGUCCAUUUCUACUCCUAUGCCCAUUUGUUUUAUUUGCCUUUUCAUUCUGUUUUUGAAGCAAUUUAAUGUAUAGAGAUGCUUGUCUUGUUCAGUAUUUUGAUUGGUUUCCCAUUUGCAUAUCUCAAAAGAUUUUUCUGGUCCCAAGAUGGUACCAAUGUUUUCCUUUCGUUCUUUUAUUUAGAUAUUUAGUUACUUAUUUCGGGCGGUGGUACAUGUGUCACAGUAAAGGUUGGAUGACAAUCUGUGGGAAUUGGUUCUCUUCUCUCACCACAUGGGUAUUGAACUUGAGUCAUCAUCAGGUUUGGCAGCAAGCAUUACUGAGCCAUCUUGCCAGCUCUUUUAGUUCUCCUGGAAACCUCAUGUGUAUGCCCUAUUAUUUCCCAAUUUUAUUUAAAGUGGGUAUAGCUUGAAUUUAGUGGAAAUUCAAUUGCUAUUUUUUUCACAGCAAAGAUUUGUGGAGAAGAUGGACAGGUGGAUCCCAACUGUUUCGUUCUGGCACAGGCUGUAGUCUUUAGUGCAAUGGAGCAAGAGUAAGUUCAUACUCUCACAUUAGCAUUCCUGGGGAUUCUAGCUCCUGGUUGGAAAAUGGACUUUACUCAACUAAAAACAGUGUACUUGGAUAAAGUCAUUGGGGUGAUUGAGACUGGUAUAUGACUUAGGAUUUCCUAGUUUAGUAAUGCAUGUCUUCAAAUGGACAUCUGAUUUGUUCAUGCUUUAAGUUUAUGCUCUAUAACUAAAUAAUAACAAUAAAUGUCUCCAGACUUAUUAAGAUUACUGUUGUGGGCCUUUAAGAAUCUGUAUGUUCAUUUUUGACUUGGUAUUUAUUACAUGUUUUUGUAAGGGGCCACAAGUAGAUACAAAUCUGCCUUAAAGGAAGUUACAGCUUAAUAAAAGAAAGAGGCCAUGCUUUUUGGUUACUGUAACACAAGGUAGUACAUGCUAACCAUCAGAAGAAAGCUACAAACUCACUGAGAGAUGGCUUACAGCUGAAAGGAGUCAGGAGCAGCACCUUGGGAAAUAAGGUAGCCUUGACCUAAGCCUUCAAGAUUUUAUGGGAAUGAAGCCAGGCUCUGAUGGUGUAUGCCUUUACACCAGCACUGGUCUACAGAAUGAGUUCCAGGAUAGCCAGGGAUACAGAUACAGGAGAAAUCCUGUCUUGAAAAAACAUAUUAAAAAAAAGAUUGACUAGGAAUAGUUUUGGAAAGAGUAUUUUUUUCCAGUUAUGCUCUUUCCUUGAUCCUUCCCUCAAAUAUUUUCUUUUUGUUCACGUGCAGGCACUUUAGUGAGUUUCUGCGAAGUCACCAUUUCUGUAAAUACCAGAUUGAAGUGCUGACCAGUGGGACUGUUUACCUGGCUGAUAUCCUCUUCUGUGAGUCAGCCCUCUUUUAUUUUUCUGAGGUAAAUUCUGCGUUUUCUUUUAUAUUCUGCUAGAGCAUUCCAGCUCCAUGCUGGGACCCUGUCCGAAGAAAAUGACAUAAAAGAGAUAACUCAUUCGCAAAAUGAUUGUUUUAGGUUGUACUUAAUGGCACGAGUAUGUCAAUGGCAUAUUUAUCAGAUUAAAGAGGAAACUCAUAAAAUAACCCUAAUUUUUAGAAAGUACUUUAGCUACACUAUAAGAAAAUACAAUAUAAGAGAUAGUUUGAACUGUUUUAAAGCCAUAAAAUUGAAGGCUGGGAUGUAGCUCAGUUGGCAGAAUAUUUGCCUAGUGUGCACGAAGCUCUGAGUUCAGUCCCUGUCACUAUGUGAAACUGGGCAUGGUGGUGCAAACCUGUAAUUCCAGCAUUAUUGAGGUGGAGACAAGAGGAUCAAAAAUUUAAGGUUAUCCAUUCUUUGCUACAUAAUGACUUUGAGGACAACCUGGACUACCUCAAAAAUAAAUAGGAGCUGGGGAGACGGCUCAGUAACCAAGUGUGUGCUGCACCAGCGUGAGGACCUGAGUUCAGAUCCAGGGAAUCCAUGGGGGAUGUUGGCAUGGCCACACCCGUCAGUUUGCUCGGUAUUGGGAAGUGGACAGGCUCUUUGGAGCCUUGACAAAUUAUCUAGACAGUUCACCACUGAGCUUCACGCUUAGUAAGAGACCAUGUGUCAAAAAAUAAGAUAGAGUGCAAGAGGGAGCUGGUGAGAUGGCUCAGUGGUUAAGAGUACUGACUGCUCUUCCGAAGGUCCUGAGUUCAAAUCCCAGCAACCACAUGGUGGCUCACAACCAUCCGUAACGAAAUCUGAUGCCCUCUUCUAGAGUUUCUGAAGACAGCUACAGUGUACUUACAAUAAAUAAAUAAAUCAAUCAAUCAAUCAAUCAAUCAAUC